GUUGUUGUUGUUGUUGUUGUGGUAUUGAAGCAUUCACUAUUUCUUUUCUUUUUUUACAGGAAAGUCACUUGAAAAUGUUAGUUGUCAGGCUCUAAUCCUAUUUAAACAAGUUGCAGCAGCACACUCAAACAUUCAAGGAAGGAAAAUGAAGUAGUCCAGAUAAUAGGGUUUGCAAUAAAAUUUACAAGACUGGACAACUUAAUAGCAAUCAGUUUUGAGCAACUAUAGAGUUCUGCAAUAAAAUUUGACGAGCUAAAAAAGAUGCAGUUACUCAUUCUCUUAGAUAGGUUGUGGAAAAAUAUUAUUUCAUCUUUUUAUUUUUUGUGGAAUAUCAUAAAUACUAGAACCUAUAUUAUACAUGUAUUGUAUAGGAAAUCUUCUAAUUUUCUCUGUUUAGGUUCCGAUACGCGCACCGUCGCAGUGGAAAAAAACUACGUGAACACUUGGUAUGUGUGGCCUGUGCAUUAGCUCGGGCAUCAUCUCUCUAGUGUAUAUAUAUAUAAAACAAGUAUGUAUGUACUACAAGGGCCUCCGACCUUUUGCACCAUUCUAGGAAAUUCCUGCAAAACAAGUACUAAGGAACUGUUCUACAUUCUAAGCCUUUGCCUGCGGAUGCUAGAGAAGCAAGCAUAUCAUGUACACGUCUUGCACCAAAAACUCAAGAUCAAAACAUAAAGAAAUUGGUGAUGCUGUUAUUUUCAAACUAUUUUAUAAUGAGGCAUAAUUUUAUAAAGACUUCCAAAAGCUUGAAAUUAUAACUUUUUAUGCUUUAUACAUUGGCCAAAUUUGCUAGCUGGUCUAGAUAUUGAGUUUGAAGAGUAAAUAAGACGAUGAAUGUUGUAAAGGGCAAUGUAAAUAUGCCUGACAACUAUCCAACUUCUUAAACUAACUUAAUUACCUCGUAUUAGUUACAUUAUAUGACGUCAAUGAUUUUUUUUUGAAUAUUUUAAUGGAUGAAUAUUUACCUUCUUUUUUUUUUUGUAGGUCUGCAUGGUACAAGUAAAGCAGCAUAUGAUGCGUGCCUAGCAGGUAGGUUUCAUAUCCCC
rnacentral:lncRNA from 1 species